rnacentral:lncRNA from 1 species
AGGCUGCUUUUCAGAAAAGUCUGUGUGUUACGUGUUUACGGCUCGUGUUUUCUCACUUUGGGGCAGUAGGAAUAAAUAGGUCAGCGUUCCUAUUGGUUUUUGAAGGUUAGCUGGCCCCCCCUUUUCAAAGUUUUACCGUCUACUUGGUUUGCAGCCUUGUAGGAAAGCAUUACUGAAUUUUUCCUGGGAAUACUGUUACUCAUUUUAAUUUCGUGGCCCAUCCUUUUUCCUGUUCAAUUAUCUAGAAGGAGCUGCUUCAGAAACACUGUCCUGUUUACUGGACGCUCUCUAGCACUAUCCAGCAGGAGGCGCUACAACAAGUUAAAGGGACUCUUAAUUUUGAGGGUCUUUCUACCUAUUGAAGCUCUCUAGCUCAGCCAAGGAACAGGAGUAAAGUUCCGGGAAGACUUUGAGGGAUUAGAGAGUUGAAGGAGAGCCAGUUCCCCCAAAAUUGGUAAGUACUUUUACUAAGCAAGCACACUGAUUUUAUUUUAGCUGGACUUAUUCAAAUAUUGGUUUUUUUUGUAGAUGAUUUUUUCCCCCUCCAAAAAAGUGUCCUCCUCCAAACAAGGCUUUGCUGUUUGCACUGAAAGUGAAUUUUUAGCUUCACAUAGCUGUAUCUGAAAUGCAUUUGUAUUUCUGACAACUCUGCUAAACUUGCAUGCUCCUGAAUUUGAACUCAUUAAAACUUGAAGGCCCUGUUGCCAAAAUGCCCUUGAUAUAGUAG